CAGCCGCCGCGGGAAUACGUAGGUGGCAAGCGUUGUCCGGAAUUAUUGGGCGUAAGGCGCGCGCAGGCGGAUAGGUCAGUCUGUCUUAAAAGUUCGGGGCUUAACCCCGUGAUGAGAUGGAAACUGCCAAUCUAGAGUAUCGGAGAGGAAAGUGGAAUUCCUAGUGUAGCGGUGAAAUGCGUAGAUAUUAGGAAGAACACCAGUGGCGAAGGCGACUUUCUGGACGAAAACUGACGCUGAGGCGCGAAAGCCAGGGGAGCGAACGGGAUUAGAUACCCCCGUAGUCCCUGUCUCUUAUACA
rnacentral:rRNA from 1 species